CUUGCAUGUUUUCUGCUCCAUUCUUUGGGUCAAGAACACACUGGUUAAUAGCCAAUUAUUUCAUGCCCUAAGGAAAUUUUGGCAAAGAAGUUCCUGGGAAGAGUCAACUUGUUUUGGGAAAUGAGACUAAUAUUCACUUUCCAAUUCUGAAGCCGGCUGAAAUUUUCCUGGACUGCCUAAAACAGAAUGUGCAGCUCCAGCUGAGAUAUCUAAAGGCCUAUAAAGUGCUGCUAUGGAAGUCACUUUUUUCCCUGCUGAGUGAAUAAAUUACAGGUCCUGGAGCAGUGCUCAGUGUGCUGUAAUUCCUGGCUAUAACAUCUAUGAGAUAUGUUUAAACUGAAUGAUCCACUGCUCAGAGGAGUGAUGGCUUCUUUUACAGCCCUCUUGUUCUUGCAGACAGUAAACCAUUGAAACAGACCAUGAAGACAAGGGCAAGUUCACCAUAUUCUCAUCUUUCCUGGAGUUGCAUGUACUUUUGUCUGUGCUGUGGGACACCUUACACCUCACACCUAACACUUGCAGGACUAGCCAAGUCUUGGCAUUAAUAAUGUUUUGUGUGUUUUUUUUUUUCCUCCAGUCUAUAUUUUGAAUUAUAAAAUUUUGAUAAUUUCUAGAAAAGGUUAUAUUUCUUUCCAAAGCAGAUACAAGCUUCAAGCUCAUAUGUAACCUGUAUGUAUAAAACCACCUUGAAAGAUGUUAUUGUUCCUUCCAGUAGUUUUUUUCUCCAUCUGCACAGGAAAUGUUUUUCCACUUCCAGGCAGACUCUUCUGUUCCUAUCUCUCAUGUACUCAGUCACCUUGUAAAUGCAGAGCAUUAUUGUACAGAAGAAGCUUUUUCACAGACUCCAUGACUUUGACAAUUACUUAUUGUAAUUUUUUCAUCUCUCCUGUCCUUUUUGACAGAUCCUGCAAGAUUAUUUUAUCCAUUAUGUGGCCUUCUUACUUGACAUUCCUUUGUCAUUGUUCUGAAUGCAGGCACAAAGAGCUGAAGAAGGCUGGGAUGCAGAGGAGGCGAGAGGCCAGGGUUGUCACCCAGAGCUCCCAAAGCAGGAGUGCCUGGGCAGGGCUGGGCUCUCACACUGCAGCCAAGGCUUUCAAGAGGGGUGACACAAUUCAAGAGAGGAUGCUGAUGAAAUCACACUCAAACCUGAGUCUGAACAAGUCAGCAGAGCUCAGCUUUUGGGAGUGAGUCAUGUUAAAACCAAGCAUAUGCUCAAGUGUUUUGCUGGAUCAUGGCCAUAUUGAACUAUAAUGACCUAAAUGGAUUUACUCCCCAGACAAAUUUACCCUUUGCUUUCCUCCUGCCCACACAUACAUUUGCACCUCAAUCAAUCACUUAUGUCUCCUUCUAUUUCCUGCAUCCUACUUUUAUGAAAAACUUUAUGACUUGUUUAAUCUCUUCUAAGCAUGGCUUUAUUUCCUCUAUUGGUUUCCUUGAUAAUUCAUCAUCAGGGAUUCUUUUCCCCUACCUAAAGGUUUUCAAUUUUAGUGUAGAAAUUUAAUAAGAAACAAAUUUGUUAAGGCUUGUUAAAGGAGCUGCAUCAUCUCUUUGUGCUCUUUUAUCUAAACCCCUUCCUCCCCAUAUAAAGACAAAGGUGUUGAAGAUGCACAUCAGGUAAACAACUGCCUACAAAUGGCAAAAAUAACAUUUUGAAGCUCUCUUUCUGUGGAUCUUUUUUUUUUAUGACAUGUGAUCUUUAUGUCUAAAAUUAUAGGCAUUUAGAUGUCAGGUAGCAGGAGAGAAAAAAAAUAAAAUAGAAGAGAUAUUGCAUGCAGCAAAAUAUCAAAGAACUGAUGCAUUGGUGAUAGUUAUAAGGUGGUUUAUUUCUCAAGAAGUGCCCAACUUUAUAAAGUUUUUAUCAUACCUGAUAGAAAAUGAAGGGCUGCUGAUAUUUUGCAAUUCAUUACCCAUUGCUUGUUGAUUACAUAAUUGUUAUUGAAUGAAGGAGCACUGUGAGGUCCUGUGAGAAGCCAAGCUGACAUGACUUCUGUCUUUCCUUUUAUUACCAUAGUCAAUAGCUUGGUUGUAAGGAACAGAAUUGCUCUUUGUGACUGUAUUAGACAUUCUUCUGGGAGAGCUAGCUAAAAUUUGAGAGCAGAAAAGCAUUUCUGGAAAAAAAAAGAAACAAAAAAACACCAACCCAGCAUGCCAGACAAAUCAAUAAGUGGAUGGAGCCGAGUCUGAGACUUUGGGGUUGGGUUAGAACCUAAAUCAAGACACUAUUGACUCUGCAAAGCCUGUAUCUUUAGGGGUGCCUAUAUCAAAAUCAAUAUUGCUUUCCUGCUUUAUUUGAUAACUUUUAUGCCUUUGUGCAAGCAAAUCCAUUUUACAGUUGUAUUUCUUUUCUUGAGCUAAAGUCUUCUCUUUGGUAUGUGUGACCUGUGUACUGUGGCUCUGUGUAAAUUAACAAAAGGUGGAUUGUGUGUGAUAUCUGUCACCAGUGUUCUCCAAUGAUGACAUUUCCAAAGGAAAUGAAAUAUCUAUAAAUUAUUUGCUGCAUAAUUUAUGCUCAACUCCUAUAUGAGAGUUCUCUACAAGCUGUUCACCAUUACCUCAGGAAUAACUAUUUUAUUUUCUGGAAAAAGGAUGUAAGCAUACAUUGAUCAUCAGAAUGUGAGAGCAUAAACAGUGGGCUUUAAUGAUUUAAUGCUUUGCAUUUAUGCAGUUUCCCAUCCAAGAUUUUCAUAUUGUAUCCAAUGUAUCCAAUAUCACAUAAUUUAAAUGCAUCCCAGCUUUGUGAAAGGUAGAUUUUGUAAUCCUGUUUUGCAGAUAAAGCUGCAAGGACAAUUGAAAUUUUACCUGUCUGUGCUUUAAGUUAGACAAGAAUCUUGUGCUUGUGCACUUGGCUAAAGUGUUUGGACUGGUCCUGACUGUUCGGUCAGCUCAGCUGGGCUUAAUAUUUUAAGAAAAGUUAUAUUGUUCAUGAAUGAUUUGUGAUCUUGAAUGAUUGUUCUGGACUAUUGUUCAGAGCUAUUUUUUGCUGGCCAUCUCAAAGUGAACCCAGUGAAAGCCUGUCUCUUUGUGCACAUGCCUAUAUAGACUUACCCUAAAUAAACCUGGAAAUGAGACUUCUGUAUCUUUGAACAUUUAGAGUGGAGUUGGUGCAGUAUUAGGUUGCUAUAAAGCCACUGAAAAUUCUGAACCUGGUCUCUGAAGUUAAAGCAUCAAUCACAUCAUACUCAGGCCCCCUGCAUUCUGAAGGUUUUAGAAUUAAAAAGCAUUGCUAAAAUUUUACUUAACUGGUUUUUGAGGCAAAACCUCUGCGUUCCCAGUGAGCUCCUUGUGGUAGAAAAAUGCAUCUAUCACAGGUAACAUUUCCUCUGAUUUUUGCUUGUGCUACCAGCCUUGCCUUAUCUGUCUCAUAAGUACUCUGUGUGUGGUAUUUAUGAAAUAUUACCCAGGUAUAGUAUUUAAUAUCUUUACAAGAGGGAAAAAACACAAUGCACUUACUCAGCAAUUCCAUCUGGAUUGUGCUUCUGUGAUCCAAUUUUCUGCCUCAAAUUAUUACUUCAGCAAAACUCUCUGCAGUGCCAACACACACACAGAUGAAGUCAUAAUAGCAGUUCAUUUUACACAUGCAUAUGCACAAUCCUCCAAAUGGUGUUCCUAAGAAUAGAGGUUUGAAAAGCUCCUUGAUAACAUGAGUGUGAAAGGGGGUUUUGUACAAUCAAUACUCACAUUCUGCUUGCUGCUUGGUAUUGAUUGCAUCUGCUUCUGCAGGGUAUAAUGUAUAUUUAACUGUAUAAAAUAAGUAUAUUAAUUACUGGACCUGUGCUUCCAAUAAAAUGAAAAUUCUGAAUUAA